rnacentral:rRNA from 1 species
GACGAACGCUGGCGGCGUGCUUAACACAUGCAAGUCGAGCGGGGAUAAGCUGAAUGAGAGCUUCGGCAGGAUUAUGGUUUAUUCCAGCGGCGGACGGGUGAGUAACGCGUGAACAAUCUGUCCCAGACAGGGGGAUAACACUUGGAAACAGGUGCUAAUACCGCAUAAGACCACGGCAUCGCAUGGUGCAGGGGUAAAAGGAGCGAUUCGGUUUGGGGUGAGUUCGCGUCCGAUUAGAUAGUUGGUGAGGUAACGGCCCACCAAGUCGACGAUCGGUAGCCGACCUGAGAGGGUGAUCGGCCACAUUGGAACUGAGAGACGGUCCAA